AACUUCACAAGUUGCUCUGGUACUAUUUUUGGUUCUUCUUUUUCUUCUUCUAAUCAGGGGACAAGGUGAAUCGUUCCAAUCCCCGGUUACGUCACGUAUUGGCGCAUUACCUUCAAAUUCACGUAGAGGUCAAGGUCCGUAGCAAAAUCUUCUCAAUAAACGAAGGAGAAGAGAUGAGUAGUAGCUUAAAGUUGCAUCUUCAAAUAAUGUCUACUAGUUUUAAAACAAAUUAUGGAUGGAACAGUACGAGUUUGUUCAUUGUUGUAGCCUUCAAUGUCAAAUACCUUCUAAGGGUUAUGUGAUCAUAAUAUAUAAAGUCUUGUAUCAUAAUGUCAAAUACACAAUGUCUUGUACAUCUGGUGAAUAAAUUCUGUAUCAUCCGUUCUGGACUUGAAUAAAAUAUUUCCUAUUGAGACAAUCAUCCCAAUUCUCA
rnacentral:sRNA from 1 species